UGUGUGUUUGUGUUUUCUGUGACUUAUGCCUACCAUACACUAGAAGAGUUUGAACAGACUUUGAAAAGACUACAGUCUGACACCAUCUCACAUCAACAGACAAUCAUUUCACAUCUAACGUUUAGGACGGUUAAAUGUAAA